UACGUAGGUGGCAAGCGUUGUCCGGAUUUAUUGGGCGUAAAGCGCGCGCAGGUGGUGCGGUAAGUCUGCCGUGAAAUCUCCCGGCUCAACUGGGAGGGGGCGGUGGAGACUGCCGGACUGGAGGGACUCAGAGGCCGGUGGAAUUCCCGGUGUAGUGGUGAAAUGCGUAGAGAUCGGGAGGAACACCAGUGGCGAAGGCGGCCGGCUGGGGGUGCCCUGACGCUGAGGCGCGAAAGCGUGGGGAGCGAACCGGAGUUAGAU
rnacentral:rRNA from 1 species